AUAAAAAAAGUUGCUUAUUAAUAAACGAGGCGUUUCUUAGAUUUCGCGAAUACUUUCAAUUUUGAAAUUGUAAUUAUCUCAAAAACUGCUUUACCGGUUUUUUAAGUCUUGUUUCAUAUAGGAAUUUACGUAAUAAAACCACAUUAAGAUUCAGUUGCAUGAUGACGCCAUCACAAACUGUUUUAUUCUAUCUCCCUUCACACUUAAAAAUUCUAUUGACAUAUCCUACAUUAAUUAAAAUUCAUUAAAAUUAGAAUAGUAGGGUAAGGAGGGGGAAUGACGCUCAGUGGGUAAUGGCGUUCACCUAGGUAAAUCUAUCAAAACGCAGCAUAGCAACAAGCCACGACGCAUGAAGGCGCGGGGGAAGGGGGCCUCUAACAGGCGGCGACACGAACCGACAGUCAGCCCGCAUCACCUGACCGUGAAGUGCGUUUCUUUGUUUGAGGCCGCGCCGAUGUAAUUUUACGUUUGGUGUUUUCUGUCGAUAUGCCAAGAAAACGCAGUUAAUCGUAACCAAAAACCCGUUGAUGAGCCAAGAUCUCCGGUAUCAUUUGCUGCUAUAGCAAUCACACCUACUCCAGGACCAUCUUUUAAGCGAGGUCAAAGAAAGCGAAAACAACAUGCUACCAUUUUAACAGCAACCCCUAUGAAAAUUAUUUUAGAAGACAAAGAAAAGAAAAAAGUAGAGAAACUUAAGAAAACGGGGAAAAAAGUUGCCAAAGGGAAGAAACCAAAGAAACAAAAAACGCACAAGAGAAAAAUUUUAAUGUCCAGUUCUUCAAAUAGUGAUGAUGGAGACCAAAUAUGCGACGAUGACAGCGAUGAUGACAUGAAUGUGGAUAAUGAAAAUUACAAUAAAUGCAUCAUCUGCGAAGAAUUCGGCAAAAACAAGGAAUUGUGG